rnacentral:rRNA from 1 species
UACGAAGGGGGCUAGCGUUGCUCGGAAUCACUGGGCGUAAAGGGUGCGUAGGCGGGUCUUUAAGUCAGGGGUGAAAUCCUGGAGCUCAACUCCAGAACUGCCUUUGAUACUGAGGAUCUUGAGUUCGGGAGAGGUGAGUGGAACUGCGAGUGUAGAGGUGAAAUUCGUAGAUAUUGGGAGGAACACCCAUGGCGAAGGCAGCAUACUGGCCGGCAUCUGACGCUGAGGCGCGAAAGCGGUGGGUAGCAAAC